CCUACGGGAGGGCAGCAGUGGGGAAUCUUGCGCAAUGGGCGAAAGCCUGACGCAGCAACGCCGCGUGCGGGAAGAAGGCUCUCGGGUUGUAAACCGCUUUCAGCAGGAACGAAAAUGACGGUACUUGCAGAAGAAGGUGCGGCCAACUACGUGCCAGCAGCCGCGGUGACACGUAGGCACCAAGCGUUGUCCGGAUUUAUUGGGCGUAAAGAGCUCGUAGGCGGUUCGGUAGGUCAGGUGUGAAAACUUUGGGCUCAACCCAAAGCCUGCAUCUGAUACUGCUGUGACUAGAGUUCGGUAGGGGAGCGGGGGAAUUCCUAGUGUAGCGGUGAAAUGCGCAGAUAUUAGGAGGAACACCGGUGGCGAAGGCGCCGCUCUGGGCCGAAACUGACGCUGAGGAGCGAAAGCGUGGGUAGCAAACAGGAUUAGAUACCCUGGUAGUCCACGCCGUAAACGUUGGGCACUAGGUGUGGGUUUCAACCUAACGAAAUCCGCGCCGUCGCUAACGCAUUAAGUGCCCGCCUGGGGAGUACGGCCGCAAGGUUAAAACUCAAAGGAAUUAGACGG
rnacentral:rRNA from 1 species